rnacentral:rRNA from 1 species
UAAGAGGUCUCGCCUGCCCGGUGACUAUAUGUUUAACGGCCGCGGUAUUUUAACCGCGCGAAGGUAGCGUAAUCAUUUGUCUUUUAAAUGAAGACCUGUAUGAAUGGUAUUACGAGGGCUCAACUGUCUCCCUUCUCCAGUCAAUGAAAUUGACUUCCCCGUGCAGAGGCGGGGAUAUUAAUAUAAGACGAGAAGACCCUGUGGAGCUUAAGACCUAAGAUAAGCCAUGUUCAGGAAUCUAAAAACAUAAGUAUAAACUUAGUGGCAUUUAUUGAAGUGUCUUCGGUUGGGGUGACCCUGGGGAAAAACUUAACCCCCAAGUAGACUGGGUACAUUGUCUCUAGAACUCAGAGCCCAUACUCCAAGUAACAGAAUAUUUGACUUUAUGAUCCGGUAUAACCGAUCAACGAACCAAGUUACCCCAGGGAUAACAGCGCAAUCCCCUUUGAGAGCCCAUAUCGACAAGGGGGUUUACGACCUCGAUGUUGGAUCAGGACAUCCUAAUGGUGCAGCUGCUAUUAAGGGUUCGUUUGUUCAACG